CUUCUUCUUCGAUUUGAACUCUUAGAAAAAAUAACGCUGUUAUCCCUAAGGUAAUUUUUUCUUUUAAUCUUUGAUAAGGAUCAUCAAAUUCACCCAUUAGUGUAAAAAUUUAAAAAAAGUUAAUCAAAUUUUUCAAUCACCCCAAUCAAAUAAAUAACCACUUAAAAAAAUAAAAAUUCUAUAAUUUCUUCUUUUAAACCAUUUUAUUUAUAAAACUCUAUAGGGUCUUCUCGUCUUUUAUAAAAAUUUAAGCUUUUUUACUUAAAAAUAAAAUUCUAAACUUUAAAUUGAGACAGUUAGCUUUUCAUCAAACCUUUCAUUCCAGCUUCUAAUUAAGAAACUAAUGAUUAUGCUACCUUAGCACAGUCAAAUUACCGCGGCCAUUUAA
rnacentral:rRNA from 1 species